rnacentral:rRNA from 1 species
AUUGAACGCUGGCGGCAGGCCUAACACAUGCAAGUCGAGCGGAUGAAGGGAGCUUGCUCCUGGAUUCAGCGGCGGACGGGUGAGUAAUGCCUAGGAAUCUGCCUGGUAGUGGGGGAUAACGUCCGGAAACGGGCGCUAAUACCGCAUACGUCCUGAGGGAGCAAGUGGGGGAUCUUCGGACCUCACGCUCUCAGAUGAGCCUAGGUCGGAUUAGCUAGUUGGUGGGGUAAAGGCCUACCAAGGCGACGAUCCGUAACUGGUCUGAGAGGAUGAUCAGUCACACGGGAACUGAGACACGGUCCAGACUCCUACGGGAGGCAGCAGUGGGGAAUAUUGGACAAUGGGCGAAAGCCUGAUCCAGCCAUGCCGCGUGUGUGAAGAAGGUCUUCGGAUUGUAAAGCACUUUAAGUUGGGAGGAAGGGCAGUAAGUUAAUACCUUGCUGUUUUGACGUUACCAACAGAAUAAGCACCGGCUAACUUCGUG